GUCGAGGGGUAUAGGUUUUCGGACCUAGAGACCGGCGCACGGGUGCGUAACGCGUAUGCAAUCUACCUUUCACAGAGGGAUAGCCCAGAGAAAUUUGGAUUAAUACCUCAUAGUAUAAUACAAUCGCAUGAUUGAAUUAUUAAAGUCACAACGGUGAAAGAUGAGCAUGCGUCCCAUUAGCUAGUUGGUAAGGUAACGGCUUACCAAGGCGACGAUGGGUAGGGGUCCUGAGAGGGAGAUCCCCCACACUGGUACUGAGACACGGACCAGACUCCUACGGGAGGCAGCAGUGAGGAAUAUUGGACAAUGGGCGCAAGCCUGAUCCAGCCAUGCCGCGUGCAGGAUGACGGUCCUAUGGAUUGUAAACUGCUUUUAUACGAGAAGAAACACCUCUACGAGUAGAGACUUGACGGUAUCGUAAGAAUAAGGAUCGGCUAACUCCGUGCCAGCAGCCGCGGUAAUACGGAGGAUCCAAGCGUUAUCCGGAAUCAUUGGGUUUAAAGGGUCCGUAGGCGGUCAGAUAAGUCAGUGGUGAAAGCCCAUCGCUCAACGGUGGAACGGCCAUUGAUACUGUCUGACUUGAAUUAUUAGGAAGUAACUAGAAUAUGUAGUGUAGCGGUGAAAUGCUUAGAGAUUACAUGGAAUACCAAUUGCGAAGGCAGGUUACUACUAAUGGAUUGACGCUGAUGGACGAAAGCGUGGGUAGCGAACAGGAUUAGAUACCCUGGUAGUCCACGCCGUAAACGAUGGAUACUAGCUGUUGGAAGCAAUUUCAGUGGCUAAGCGAAAGUGAUAAGUAUCCCACCUGGGGAGUACGUUCGCAAGAAUGAAACUCAAAGGAAUUGACGGGGGCCCGCACAAGCGGUGGAGCAUGUGGUUUAAUUCGAUGAUACGCGAGGAACCUUACCAAGGCUUAAAUGUAGAUUGACCGGUUUGGAAACAGACUUUUCGCAAGACAAUUUACAAGGUGCUGCAUGGUUGUCGUCAGCUCGUGCCGUGAGGUGUCAGGUUAAGUCCUAUAACGAGCGCAACCCCUGUUGUUAGUUGCCAGCGAGUCAAGUCGGGAACUCUAACAAGACUGCCAGUGCAA
rnacentral:rRNA from 1 species